rnacentral:lncRNA from 1 species
AAUUGGCUUGCAUUGCACCUUCCUACCCAAGCAGCUUGGUUUUCUUUCGCUUUGACCCUGUAAUUUCUUUCCCACUUCGUUGUCGUCUCUGAAUUACCUUUCUCUUGAUUCUUGCCCAUUAGCAUCCUCCAAUUUCAGAUGUUUGUAGAUCCCCAAGUGUUCCCAGGGAAAACUACUAGAAAAGGUCAAGCUGAUGCAAGAGAUGGUUUCCCAUGGUCUUGGGCAGCUCCACCCCUGUGGCUUUGCAGGGUACAAUCUCCCUCCUGGCUGCUUUCAUGGGCUGGCAUUGAGUGUCUGCAGCUUUUCCAGGUGCACAGUGCAAGCUAUCGGUGGAUCUACCUUUCUGGGGUAUGAUGGACAGUGGCCCUCUUCUUAACGGCUCCACUAGGCAGUGCCCCAGUAGGGACUGUGUGCGGGGGCCCUGACCCCACAUUUCCCUUCUGCACUGCCCUAGCAGAGGUUCUCCAUGAGAGCCCCGCCCCUGCAGCAAACUUCUGCGCGGACAUCCAGGCGUUUCCAUACAUCCUCUGAGACCUAGGUGGAGGUUCCCAAACCCCAAUUCUUGACUUCUGUGCACAGGCAGGCUCAACACCAUACAGAAGCUGCCAAGGCUUCAGGCUUGCACCCUGUGAAGCCAUGGCCCAAGCUCUACUUUGGCCCCUUUCAGCCACGGCUAGAGCAGCUGGGACACAGGGCACCAAGUCCCUAGACUGCACACAGCAUGGGGACCCUGGGACCAGCCCUCAAAACCACUUUUUCCUCCUAUACUUCCAGGCCUGUGAUGAGAAGGGCUGCCGUGAAGACCUCUCACAUGCCCUGGAGGCAUUUUUCCUAUUGUCUUGGGGAUUAACAUUCGGUUACUUGUUACUUACGCAAAUUUCUGCAACUGGCUUGAAUUUCUCGUCAGAAAAUGGGAUUUUUCUUUUCUAUCACAUUGUCAGGCUGCAAAUUUUCCGAACAUUUAUGCUCUGCUUCCCUUAUAAAACUGAAUGCCUUUAACAGCACCCAAGUCACCUCUUGAAUGCUUUGCUGCUUAGAAAUUUCUUCUGCCAGAUACCCUAAAUUAUCUCUCUCAAGUUCAAAGUUCGACAAAUCUCUAGGGCAGGGGCAAAAUGCCACUAAUCUCUUUAUUAAAACAUAACAAGAGCCACCUUUGCUCCAGUUCCCAACAAGGUCCUCAUCUCCAUCUGAGAUUACCUCAGCCUGGAUUUCAUUGUCCAUAUUGCUAUCAGCAUUUUGGGCAAAGCCAUUCAACAAGUCUCUAGGAAGUUCCAAACUCUCCGACAUUUUCCUGUCUUCUGAGCCCUCCAAGCUGUUCCAACCUCUGCCUAUUACAAAGUUCCAAAGUUGCUUUCACAUUUUUGGCUGUCUUUUCAGCAACACCCCACUCCUGGAACCAAUUUACUGUAUUAGUCUGUUUUCAUGCUGCUAAUAAAAACAUACCUGAGACUGGGCAAUUUACAAAAUAAAGAGGUUUAAUUGGACUCACAGUUCCACGUGGCUGAGGAGGCCUCAGAAUCAUGGUGGAAGGCAAGGAGGAGCAAGUCACAUCUUAUAUCAAUGUCAGCAGGCAAAGAGAGCUUGUGCAGGGAACUCCUGUUUUGAAAACCAUCAGAUCUUGUGUGACUUAUUCACUACCACAAGAACAGUAUGGGGGAAACCACCCCCAUGAUUUAAUUUUCUCCCACAGAAUUUUUCCCUCAACAUGUGAGAAUUAUGGGAGUACAAUUCAAGAUGAUAUUUGGGUGGGACACAGCCAAACCAUAUCAAUCAUCAAACAAGAAAAGAGGGAAACUUUCACAACCAAGAGAUCCCUAAAGAGGUAUGCUGACUGAAUGUAAUGUGGGAUCCUAGGGCAAAAAGAAUAUUAUGUAAAAACGAAGGAUAUCUGAAUAAAGUAUGGACUUUAUUUAGUUAAUAAUAAUGUGUCAAUAAUGGUUCAUUAGAUGUAACAAAUGCACCAUAUUGAUGUAAGAUGUUCAAAGUAGGGAAAACUGAAUAUGAGUAUAUGGGAACUUUCUUUA